GCUGAUAUAGCUCAGUUGGUUAGUACAUGGUGCUGCUAAUGCCAAGGUUGCAGGUUCAAUCCCCGUAAGGGACAGCU
rnacentral:tRNA from 1 species